CUACGGGUUGCACCAGUGGGGAAUAUUGCACAAUGGACGAAAGUCUGAUGCAGCAACGCCGCGUGGAGGAUGACACAUUUCGGUGCGUAAACUCCUUUUAUAUAGGAAGAUAAUGACGGUACUAUAUGAAUAAGCACCGGCUAACUCCGUGCCAGCAGCCGCGGUAAUACGGAGGGUGCAAGCGUUACUCGGAAUCACUGGGCGUAAAGAGCGUGUAGGCGGGUAAAUAAGUCAGAAGUGAAAUCCAAUAGCUCAACUAUUGAACUGCUUUUGAAACUGUAUACCUAGAAUGUGGGAGAGGCAGAUGGAAUUUCUGGUGUAGGGGUAAAAUCCGUAGAGAUCAGAAGGAAUACCGAUUGCGAAGGCGAUCUACUGGAACUUAAUUGACGCUGAGACGCGAAAGCGUGGGGAGCAAACAGGAUUAGAUACCCGGGUAGUC
rnacentral:rRNA from 1 species